GAUGAACGCUGGCGGCGUGCCUAAUACAUGCAAGUCGAGCGAACAGACGAGGAGCUUGCUCCUCUGACGUUAGCGGCGGACGGGUGAGUAACACGUGGAUAACCUACCUAUAAGACUGGGAUAACUUCGGGAAACCGGAGCUAAUACCGGAUAAUAUAUUGAACCGCAUGGUUCAAUAGUGAAAGACGGUUUUGCUGUCACUUAUAGAUGGAUCCGCGCCGCAUUAGCUAGUUGGUAAGGUAACGGCUUACCAAGGCGACGAUGCGUAGCCGACCUGAGAGAGUGAUCGGCCACACUGGAACUGAGACACGGUCCAGACUCCUACGGGAGGCAGCAGUAGGGAAUCUUCCGCAAUGGGCGAAAGCCUGACGGAGCAACGCCGCGUGAGUGAUGAAGGUCUUCGGAUCGUAAAACUCUGUUAUUAGGGAAAAACAAAUGUGUAAGUAACUAUGCACGUCUUGACGGUACCUAAUCAGAAAGCCACGGCUAACUACGUG
rnacentral:rRNA from 1 species